rnacentral:rRNA from 1 species
GUAACUCCGUUACAUUAAGUUCUAGGUAAAUAUUUGAUAAUGACAUUAUUUAUCUAUAAGUCUUGACCAAGUCUCGUGCCAGCAGUCGCGGUAACACGGGGAAGACGAGUGUUAUUCAUCUUUAUUUGGUUUAAAGGGUACCUAGACAGUUAAUCAAGCCUACAUCAGGGACUAAUUAGACUAGAGUUUUAUAGGAGAAGGCUAGAACGGUGAGUUGAGAGAUGAAAUUCUUUGAUACCACUUAGAUACUGACAUAGGCGAAAGCAACCUUUUAUGUAAAAACUGACGUUGAGGGACGAAGGCUUUAUAUAAUUAACAGGAUUAGAUACCCAAGUAGUCNAAGCAGACAAUGAUGAGUGUCAUAUGUAAGUAUUUUAAUAAAAAUGUAAAAUUUAAAUUAAACCUUAUCUACAUAUAAAUGAAAGUGUAAGCACUCCACCUUAAGAGUAACAUGGCAACAUAGGAACUGAAAUCAUUAGACCGUUUCUGAAACCAGUAGUGAAGUAUGUUGUUUAAUUUGAUGAUCCACAAAGAACCUUACCACAAUUUGAAUAGAUUUCUUAAAAAAGAAAUUUACAGGAGUUGCACGGCUGUCUUCAGUUGAUAUCGUGAGAUUUUGGUUAGCUCCAUUUAAUCAACGUAAACCCUUACUUUAUUUUCUAUAUAAAGUAGUUCGCCGAU